GAUGAACGCUAGCGGCAGGCCUAACACAUGCAAGUCGAGGGGUAGAAUUAGCUUGCUAAUUUGAGACCGGCGCACGGGUGCGUAACGCGUAUGCAAUCUACCUUGUACAGGGGGAUAGCCCAGAGAAAUUUGGAUUAAUACCCCAUGGUAUAAUUAAUUUGCAUGAAUUGAUUAUUAAAGUUCCAACGGUACAAGAUGAGCAUGCGUCCCAUUAGCUAGUUGGUGUGGUAACGGCAUACCAAGGCGACGAUGGGUAGGGGUCCUGAGAGGGAGAUCCCCCACACUGGUACUGAGACACGGACCAGACUCCUACGGGAGGCAGCAGUGAGGAAUAUUGGUCAAUGGUCGGAAGACUGAACCAGCCAUGCCGCGUGCAGGAAGAAGGCCUUCGGGUUGUAAACCGCUUUAGUCCGGGAAAAGGGUGCGAGGAUAAUACCCUUGUGCUUUGAUGGUACUGGAAGAAUAAGCACCGGCUAACUACGUGCCAGCAGCCGCGGU
rnacentral:rRNA from 1 species